GGGGUUAUGGCUCAGUGGUAGAGCACUUGCCAAGCAUGCAUGAGGCACUGGGUUCAAUCCCUGGCACCA
rnacentral:tRNA from 1 species